CGCGUAGGCGGCCUUCUAAGUCGAACGUGAAAUCCCCGGGCUCAACCCGGGAACUGCGUCCGAUACUGGAAGGCUUGAAUCCGGGAGAGGGAUGCGGAAUUCCAGGUGUAGCGGUGAAAUGCGUAGAUAUCUGGAGGAACACCGGUGGCGAAGGCGGCAUCCUGGACCGGUAUUGACGCUGAGGCGCGAAAGCCAGGGGAGCAAACG
rnacentral:rRNA from 1 species